UACUCCUACGGGAGGCAGCAGUGGGGAAUAUUGCGCAAUGGGGGGAACCCUGACGCAGCCAUGCCGCGUGAAUGAAGAAGGCCUUCGGGUUGUAAAGUUCUUUCGGUAUUGAGGAAGGUUGAUGUGUUAAUAGCACAUCAAAUUGACGUUAAAUACAGAAGAAGCACCGGCUAACUCCGUGCCAGCAGCCGCGGUAAUACGGAGGGUGCGAGCGUUAAUCGGAAUAACUGGGCGUAAAGGGCACGCAGGCGGUUAUUUAAGUGAGGUGUGAAAGCCCCGGGCUUAACCUGGGAAUUGCAUUUCAGACUGGGUAACUAGAGUACUUUAGGGAGGGGUAGAAUUCCACGUGUAGCGGUGAAAUGCGUAGAGAUGUGGAGGAAUACCGAAGGCGAAGGCAGCCCCUUGGGAAUGUACUGACGCUCAUGUGCGAAAGCGUGGGGAGCAAACAGGAUUAGAUACCCUGGUAGUCCACGCUGUAAACGCUGUCGAUUUGGGGGUUGGGGUUUAACUCUGGCGCCCGUACCUAACGUGAUAAAUCGACCGCCUGGGGAGUACUGCCGCAUGGUUAAAACUCAAAUGAAUUGACGGA
rnacentral:rRNA from 1 species